GACGAACGCUGGCGGCGUGCUUAACACAUGCAGGUCGAGCGGUAAGGCCCUUUCGGGGGUACACGAGCGGCGAACGGGUGAGUAACACGUGGGUGACCUGCCCUUAGCUCUGGGAUAAGCCUGGGAAACUGGGUCUAAUACCGGAUAUGACUCCAUAACGCAUGUUGUGGGGUGGAAAGCCUUGUGCGGCUAGGGAUGGCCCGCGGCCUAUCAGCUUGUUGGUGGGGUGAUGGCCACCAAGGCGACGACGGGUAGCCGGCCUGAGAGGGCGACCGGCCACACUGGGACUGAGACACGGCCCAGACUCCUACGGGAGGCAGCAGU
rnacentral:rRNA from 1 species